ensembl:lncRNA
CAAAUCUGAAGCUCCUUGACAGCUGUUCUGUUCUAGCGUAUGGACUUUGGGGCCAGAAUCAGCUGUGUGAGUCUCAGCUCUGCGACUCUCUGCUCUGCUACUCAGGACUUGUGUGCACGUGGGCAAGUCACUUAUCUGCCUCGGUCUGUUUACAUUUGAAAGGGGAAUAAUAAUCUUUACCUCAGAGUUAUGGAAAAUGGAGGGAGAUACUGUGCAAGACUCUUGGGACACGGUUGAUUCAAAUCCUUUGUGGAAAAAAAGGAUGGUGUCAAGAAAUAGCUAUAAAAUAAAUGGUCAUUCACCCAUCUGGAGGCCCCACGAGGACAAGGUCACCACUGUGUCCCCAUGUCUGGUCUCCUCAUGGUCCAAAGUGGCUGCCUGGUCUCCAGCCAUUGUGCCUGAAUUUCAGAGCUGGAGACAGCCUCUGUCUGGAAGAUGGAGCACCCCUCCUUCUUGGGACUGCUGAGGGUCUGGCCUGUGAGACUCGAGCUGCAAGCGGGGCAUCAGAAGCCCGGGGGCUCUCCAGAUGUGUCCAAUUUCCCCCAGACCUGUCACUUCUCAUCUGGGUUUGGCCACAAGACUUACUGGGAGCCUGUAGCACAGAGGGACAGACGGAAGCUGGAUGCAGGGGAGGGGCCGUGACUCAGUAAGCCAGAGGCAGGGAUGGGGGUCGAGGGCAGCAGAGCACACUUUGAAGUUCACGUUCAAGCCUAGAAAUUGUUCCUAAUGAGAUAGUUGCACACGUGUGGGGGGGGGGGAGCACAUGGGGGCCCCUCCCGGCGUCACUGACAACCGGGGAAUUUGGGAAGAGACAAAUGCUCGUCAGGGCCUGGAUGGUUAAUAAAUCGUGCUGCGUCCAGACGACGGGCCAGUGCGAGUCAUCGAAGAGAGUAACGAGGAUGGAGAAUUCCGGCAUCUUUUGGUUUUAAGUCAACGUAACUCAGUGUAGCUUACACUGGAAUUUCCUGGCUCAGUUCCCGGAGUAUCAGUGAUGGACUUGGCCUCGGGGAUAUAGAGACCAGAGAUGCAAAAUGCCCUUGUCCCCUCCUUCUCUCAUUCUCUCAGUCUGUCUGAGCUGCUUCUGUCUCUGGCUUCAGAUGAGUUUUCGCGGUAGGGCAGCCUGGCCGCAGACAGCUCUAGGCUCACCUCACAUCACCUUUGGCUUCAGAAGGAGGGCCCACCAAGACAAAUUCUCAGGGUAAGACUUCGAUUGGCUAGGCCUCGGUCACGUGCUCAUCUCUGGACCAAUCACUGCAAGAGCAUGGGAGGGGCACCGUGACUGGUCAGGCCCGGGUCGAGUGCCCAGCCCAGUGGUCAGAAGGGAGGUGAGGGGACAGCCCCGCCAGAACCACCAGGAGAAGGGCAGCUCCUCAAAGCAAGGAAAACUGGGUGGAUAAAAGCAACAGAUGUCCAGUCUUGCUAUUUUCUGAAUGCUCAGCUAGACAACAAGACGAAAGCCAACGAAAUGGGUGGAUCUGGUCCCUGGUCCACUUAACUGCUGCCUUGGAUGUAAAUACACAGUGGAAGAAUGUUCACGAAAAUCUUAACAGGCACGGUCUCUGUGCCGUGGGAUUUAAGGUUCUGCACCCGAGAUGAGGGCCUCCCUUGCCUCCCCCUGGCUCAGCCCUGUUGGGGGUAGGUGGGGAGUGCCUGGGCUGCAGCCAGAGGAUGGGGACAACCUCACAAGGAAACUUCCUGACUCCAUCUGGUGGUGUUCAUUCACCCACCUGCCCACCCUCCCUCCAUCUUCCACUGUCCAUUCUUCCAUCCAUCCCUCCAUCGCCCAUCCAUCUGUCCAUAUGCACAGCGCUUAAGAACUUGCAUUCUGCAUUUAUGGCCUGAGUUUGCAUCCUGGCUGCCCAUCUUGGUGACCUGUGACGUCCAUUCAACACCCACACUUCCCGUUUGAUGUAUUUUUACACUUAAAAAUUAUUCAUAUAAUACUUGAAUACAUUGUUUAAAAAUCAUCUAUUAAUCUCUAAUCUUCACAGACAUUCAGUGAGAUAGAUGUGAUCAUCCCCAUUUUAUAAUGAGGAGCUGAGGCCCGGAGGGUAAGGUGUCCUGUCCAAGGUUCCAUGGUCUAUGAGUGAUAGCAACGUGAGACCUGAGAGUCUAGGUCACAAAGCCGGCCACGUCCGUCUUCCCCCGUCACUGCGUCUCCUGAGGGUGGAGCGAGGUCCAGAGGGCCCUGGAGAGCCCGUCGGACGGCAGACAAUCCACAGAUGAUUCUAUGCACGUGAUGAGUUCUGGGAACAGGUGUGAACAGGUAAUGAUGGAUUCUCGGUGGGGAGAACCCGUGAAGGGGGCACGGAGGAGGGUGUUGUGUGAGUUGGCUUGGAAGAGAGAAGGCCGACGAAGGAAGGGCCUCAAGUGGUGGGAACAGCAUGUGCAAACUGCAGCAGUGGAGACUGAGCGGGUGACAUCUAGGCACAUCCUGGGCUGGAGCACUUGCUGUUAGGUGAGUGAAUCUGUGUGUGCAGCUUUGGCGAGGGUGGGGGAUGAGCCUCAGAAGAGAAGCAGGAUCAGACUGGGAGAGGUUUUUGGACGCUGGAACACAGCUGACAUUUCUUGUCUCACCUGCCUGUAACAGGGACAGAAAGGAAGCAGCCUUGGCGGGAAAUUCCUCUUGUACCGGACGCCACAGAAGGGCAUUCACAUCCCUUGUCUCAAGGGCGGCUCACCACACCCCUGCCAGGUGGCUGUUGUGAUCCCGUUUCAGUGACGAGUGAGGCUGAGCCUCAGAGAGUUUCCGUGAUACCCCCGGGUCACACAGCCAGACGGCGGGGAGCUAGCAGCCAGCCCCAGCUCUGACGUGCACUUUAGAAAGGUCACUCUCACUGUCAUGUGAAAGAAGGACUUGGUAAGACAGAGAAAAGCAGAGAGACUCAAAUGAUCUUCACAAGGGGGCCAAGAGCAUUCAGUGCGGGAAAGGGCUGUCUUUUCAAUGAGUGGUGCUGGGAAAACCGGAUCUCCACAUGUGAAAGGAGGAAGUUAGUCCCUACCUCACGCCGUACACAAAACUUCACUCAAAAUGGAUCAGGGACCUAAGUGUAAGGCCUAAAACAGUAAAACUCUUAGAAGAAAACACAGGACCAAAGAUUCAUGAUGCUGGAUUUGGUGAUGAUUCCUUGCAUAAGACUCCAAAGGGACAGGUAACAAAAGGAAAAAUAGACAAAUUGGACUUCAUGAAAAUUUAAAAAUUUUGUGCAUUAAAAAUUACUGUCAACAGAGUAAAAAGGUAACUCCCAGAAUGGGAGAAAAUAUUUACAAAUCAUAUAUCUGAUAAGGAAUUAAUAUCCAGAACAUACAGAGAAGUAAAACUCAACAACAACAAAAAACCCAAAUCAAAAAUGGGCAAAUGACUUGAAUUGACGUUUUUCUAAAGAAGACAUGCAAAUGGCCGAUAAGCACAUGAGAGAUGAUCAACACCACUGAUCAUGAGGGAGAUGCAAAUCAAAACCGCAGUGAGUACCACCUCACACCCAUCAGGAUGGCUGUUAUAUUAAAAAGCAAACAAAUGGAAAAUAAGAAGUGUUGGUGAGGAUGUGGACAGACUGGAACCCUCGUGCACCUUUGGUGGGAAUGGAAAAAGGUACAGCUGCUCUGGAAAACCGUGUGGUGGUUCCUCAAAAAGUUAAAAAUAGAGUUACUAUAUGACCCAGAAAUUCCACCUCUGGGUAUACACCCAGAAGAACGGAAAACAGUCUCGAACAGAUAUUUGCACACCCAUGCGCACAGCAGCAUUAUUCACAACAGCCAAAAUGCGGAAGUAACCCAAGUGCCCGUCAACAGAUGAGCGGAUAAACAAAAUGGGGCACAUCCAUACCAUGGAAUAUUAUUCGGCCCUAAAAAGGAGGGGAAUUCUGACACGUGCCACAACACAGAUGAGCCCUGAGGACAUUAGGCUGAGUGAAGUAAGCCACAAAAGGACAAAUAGCGUAUGAUUCUCUUUAUAUGAGGUCCCUACAGUAGUCAGACUCAUAGAGACAGAAAGUAGGAGGGUGGUUGCCAGGGCCUGGUGGAGGGGGAUGCGGAGUGACCGUUUAAGGGGCACAGUUUCAGUUUUACAAGAUGAAAAGAGCUGUGGGGGGAGGUGCUGGUUGUAAAACAUGAUGACGGUGCUUAAUACCACGGAACUAUGCACUUAAAAAUGGUCAAGGCGGUAAAUUUGAUGUUCUCUGUACCCACAACAUAGUGUACACAUAGAGACACAACAGAGUGUGAUGGAUUCACGGAUCUGGAGCCCCACAGCAGGAUGCAGAAACGUAGCUGGGCGUCAUCGACGUGCAGAUGAGAGAGACUCCACGUGGGAAGGAGUGAAUGUGAGAAGGAAGUUGAAGACACUGGAGAAAGAGCAGAACAACAUCCUGGAGGAGCUGGAGGAGCAGAAGAUGAAAAGGGAAAAGCUGGCCUCGCAGACAGUGAUUGACGCUUCCUGAGUGUCUGUGGCUGGCUGGUCCCUUACACAUGUCACCUCGGC